rnacentral:rRNA from 1 species
UACGUAGGGUGCGAGCGUUAAUCGGAAUUACUGGGCGUAAAGCGUGCGCAGGCGGUGAUGUAAGACAGGUGUGAAAUCCCCGGGCUUAACCUGGGAACUGCAUUUGUGACUGCAUCGCUGGAGUGCGGCAGAGGGGGAUGGAAUUCCGCGUGUAGCAGUGAAAUGCGUAGAUAUGCGGAGGAACACCGAUAGCGAAGGCAAUCCCCUGGGCCUGCACUGACGCUCAUGCACGAAAGCGUGGGGAGCAAACAGG